GGAGACGUCCACCCGGUAAGUUGUGAGCCGCAACACCGGAAGCGAGUUUUGCGUGGGAUGCGGUAACGUAAUCCUGCGAAGCGUAAACAGCAUGGCUGUAGGGAUGGCUAUUGAGCAUCGAAAGACUAACAUAUCCGAGGGACGACGCUGUUGCCUGAGCGGAAGUCAACACACAUAUGGACGUUAACGGCGAGGAAGUAUGUGCCCGGCGGUGUCGGAAAGAA
rnacentral:ncRNA from 1 species